rnacentral:misc_RNA from 1 species
UCACUACUUGCGUAGGCAGUCUGGCUAGAGUCCCCACCACAACGUGCUGGUAACUAACCACAGGGGUUGCGCUCGUUGCGCCACUUAAGGCAACACCUCACGGCACGAGCUGACGACAGCCAUGCAGCACCUUCCAUGGUGCCCCGAAGGGACACUCCGUUUCCGGAGCCGUCACCACAGAUUUAGCCCAGGUAAGGUUCUUCGCGUUGCAUCGAAUUAAGCCACAUGCUCCACCGCUUGUGCGGGCCCCCGUCAAUUCCUUUGAGUUUCAUUCUUGCGAACGUACUCCCCAGGUGGUGUGCUUACUGCGUUAACUGCGUCACUGAUCACGACUUACAUCGCAACCAACAACUAGCACACAUCGUUUACAGCGUGGACUAC